CUAUACGGCUUGUCAGUAUCUAUAUACUUGUUGAAAGGCUAGAUAAAAGUCUGGCCAUACCUAGUUGCUAAGCAAAUCCUGGGUUUCUAUACUUAGAACGCUGAACCAAAAAAAAAAGCCAAAAUAAAAAGGAUCUAAAUGUAAUUUCUUCGACAGCCUCACCCCACAAAAUCUGACGUCGCCGCGUUACCGCACUAUAAAACCAUGAAAACGAUAAGAAAUUAAUUGUUUCCCCAUGUUUUAUAAACAGCGAUCGUUGGCUUCUUAAUCGUUGUGUUGCCUCUACCGUGGCCGAACGCUUAUAAAUUUGCUCUAAACAUAGAUAAACGCUAUUGUUUCCGAGCUAUUUAACGUAGGCAGAAUGAAGUUCGUGAUUGUCCUCGCCGUAGCCAUAUUCGCUUUAGCUGCUGUUCAGUCAGCGCCAGUACCCGAUGACAAGCCCGUAGACGCUCCACCGGCCGCGCCGGCCGCCGCCCCAGCAGCGCCGGAGGUCGCUACGCGUGCUGCGUCGGAAACAUCGGCGGCUCCCGCGAAAGCCGAAGGAAGUUCAGCAGCGCCGACGACGCAUCCUCCGCAAUAAAAGAAGCCCAAGGGUAGCUGACAAGUACACGACACAAACGACUUCUAAAGAUCCCGUCCAAGUCGUUUACUAUGGGUGAAAACAACAAUAAAGCCCAACACGAAUGUGUAUAAAAUAUUUCGAAAUAAAUGAAAGAUAGAUAA